rnacentral:sRNA from 1 species
GUGGCUUCGAUGAGGCGGUGACGGGCCUGAAAGUGGGCGAAUCCCGCUCGGUGACGUGCGAGCCGAAAAACGCCUACGGGGAGUAUGACGCGAGCAACAUCGCUGAGGUACCUAUGGAUCAGAUGCCUUCGCCGCCUGA